rnacentral:rRNA from 1 species
UACGUAGGGUGCAAGCGUUGUCCGGAAUUAUUGGGCGUAAAGAGCUCGUAGGCGGUUUGUCGCGUCUGCUGUGAAAUCUCACGGCUUAACUGUGAGCGUGCGGGCGAUACGGGCAGACUAGAGUACUGCAGGGGAGACUGGAAUUCCUGGUGUAGCGGUGGAAUGCGCAGAUAUCAGGAGGAACACCGGUGGCGAAGGCGGGUCUCUGGGCAGUAACUGACGCUGAGGAGCGAAAGCGUGGGGAGCAAACAGG